UAUGGCCACAUCAUAUUGAAACAUCAGUUCCUGUACAAUCAUGAAAGUUAAGCAAUGUUGAGCCUGGUUAGUACCUAGAUGGGUGAGCACUUGGGAAUACCAGGUACUGUCAG